rnacentral:rRNA from 1 species
GAUGAACGCUGGCGGCGUGCCUAAUACAUGCAAGUCGAGCGAAUGGAAGGGAGCUUGCUCCCUGAAGUUAGCGGCGGACGGGUGAGUAACACGUGGGCAACCUACCUACAAGAUUGGGAUAACUUCGGGAAACCGGAGCUAAUACCGGGUAAUACAUUGGAUCGCAUGGUUCGAUGUUGAAAGAUGGCUUCGGCUAUAACUUGUAGAUGGUCCCGCGGCGCAUUAGCUAGUUGGUGAGGUAACGGCUCACCAAGGCAACGAUGCGUAGCCGACCUGAGAGGGUGAUCGGCCACACUGGGACUGAGACACGGCCCAGACUCCUACGGGAGGCAGCAGUAGGGAAUCUUCCGCAAUGGACGAAAGUCUGACGGAGCAACGCCGCGUGAGUGAUGAAGGCCUUCGGGUCGUAAAGCUCUGUUGUUAGGGAAGAACAAGUACCGUUUGAAUAAGGCGGUACCUUGACGGUACCUAACCAGAAAGCCACGGCUAACUACGUGCCAGCCGCCGCGGUAA